UUUGGUAGCAUACCGAGCGAAGCUAGUGGCGAACGGGUGCGUAACACAUGAGUCAUCUGCCCAGAAGUGGGGAAUAGCUCGGCGAAAGCCGGAUUAAUACCGCAUGUGGUCGUAAGACCAAAUCCGGGGCAACCUGGCGCUUUUGGAGGAGCUCGUGGCCUAUCAGCUAGUUGGUAAGGUAACGGCUUACCAAGGCAACGACGGGUAGCUGGUCUGAUAGGACGACCAUCCACACUGGAACUGAUAUACUGUCCAGACACCUACGGGUGGCAUCAGUCGAGAAUUUUUCUCAAUGGGGGAAACCCUGAAUGGGCGACUCCGCGUGGAGGAUGAAUGCUUUCGGGUUGUAAACUCCUGUCAUUUGGGAACAAGGCCUUACGUUAACUGCGUGGAGGAUUGAUAUUACCAUAAGAUGAAUAGACGGCUAACUCUGUGCCAGCAUCCGCGGUAAU
rnacentral:rRNA from 1 species